AGGGGUUAUAUGUGCUGCUGGUGGGCCUUAGGUAGUAUUAGCUUUACGAUCUAGUCUCUCACAAAUUUUGCUGGCUGUUUUUGCACCUUUCCAGACGGCACUGCGCACCGUGUUAGAAUUGAGUUGACCGGCGAAUGCCCUGAUUCGGCCUCAGUCCUCUCCUAGAUCUAUUGCGGUCAGUCGUGUCCGUAGCUGGCUCGUUCAGCCCUUUGUCCCUCAUCGCUGGUUGGAGACCUCAUCAGACAUCAAGUUACAUGUGCAAGCAAACUAAUUAGCUGGACUGGACUUCCUUCAGUGGCAGAGGAGCACACAAUGGUGAAUAAAGUGACACGUGGGGUGGUUCCCACAGGUGGCAGCAAGGCAGAUCAUCUCCCUCAGUCGGAAACACUAAUCCAUGUUACAUUGGUUCUGCAGCAUCCUUCUUCAAGCAGAUAAUGUAGAUUACAUGAUUUAAGAGAUACAGAAGCACUCGCUCCUCCAAUCCACAGACCACUUCCACUAAGGAACUAACUCUUAAUCGUCUCUUGACCGUUUGACUGCCUGUGACCCUGUACCUUUUGAUUUCUGGAACUGAGGGUGCCAUGAUAAACAGUCUGCCAUAUUGAAUACCAGACCUCGUGGGAGAAGUGUGGAAGGACAAGUAAUGCUGCCUAGCAGGAUUCUGGCGAACCCUCUCUGAAUUUAUAAAAGGGCAUGAACACUGUGGAUCGGCCUUAGACACUUAACAUCUUCCAGACGAGCAAGAUUGUCCCGCUCCUUCUUGACCUACUGAUUCCAUUCAGAGACAGCUGCUGCUAGCCUAUAUAACAGUACUGUUAAUUAAAUUUCCCACCCCAUCAGUGUCCUGAGGAACACGGACUCCAAUCUCCAGCCAGGCUGCAAUUGAGCCACUAAGGACUCUGGAUUCCCGCAUCAUGUUGCUCCGGGAUUCUUCCCCUACUUUGUGUCUCCUAUGUGCCACAUGUCUGGACAAGCCGACCACCUGUUCAUCUACUUCAAGAUCUAAUCCAUUACUGAUUACUAUUUGUGUUACGAGGCCCUUACAUCCCUUCUAAAGUCUCUCGUUGGACGAGUGGAUUUCAUGCUCGGCUACCAAUCCGGUGGUAAGAAGUUUGAUUCUCGGCUCGGUCAACUCAGAACCAGAGGAAUGUAUUUCUGGUGAUGGAAAUUCAUUUCUCAAUAUAAUGUGGUUCGAAUCCCACCAUAAGCUGUAGGUCCCGUUCUUAGGUAGACCAACUGGUUCCUAGCCACAUAAAAAUAUCUAACCCUUU